CAAUAGCGUAUAUUUAAGUUGUUGCAGUUAAAAAGCUCGUAGUUGGAUUUCGGAUGGGAUUUGCCGGUCCGUCGUUACGAUGUGCACUGGCCAGUCCUAUCUUGUUGUCGGGGACUAGCUCCUUGGAUUCACUUCCUGGGACUAGGAGCUGACGAGGUUACUUUGAGUAAAUUAGAGUGUUCAAAGCAAGCCUACGCUCUGAAUACAUUAGCAUGGAAUAAAACGAUAGGACUCUGGCUUAUCUUGUUGGUCUGUGAGACCAGAGUAAUGAUUAAGAGGGACAGUCGGGGACAUUCGUAUUUCAUUGUCAGAGGUGAAAUUCUUGGAUUUAUGAAAGACGAACUUCUGCGAAAGCAUUUGUCAAGGAUGUUUUCAUUAA
rnacentral:rRNA from 1 species